rnacentral:rRNA from 1 species
GACGUAGGGAGCGAGCGUUGUCCGGAUUCAUUGGGCGUAAAGGGCGCGUAGGCGGCCCGCUAAGUCGAACGUGAAAUCCCCAGGCUCAACCUGGGAACUGCGUCCGAUACUGGCAGGCUUGAAUCCGGGAGAGGGAUGUGGAAUUCUCGGUGUAGCAGUGAAAUGCGUAGAUAUCGAGAGGAACACCAGUGGCGAAGGCGAGUCCCUGGACAACACCUGACACUGAGGCACGAAAGCUAGGGGAGCAAACAGG